rfam:Gossypium arboreum cultivar AKA8401 contig_29558_1, whole genome shotgun sequence.
CUAUAAAAAAAUUCAUCCAUUUCUACUGUUAAAAAUUGAUCCAUAGGCUUUAGAAUAAGGUACACAUGGUAUGCUGUGUGUGAUUGUAUAAUUAUUCUGCCAGCAACGUCAGUUUUUAACCGUAAAAAUUGAUAAUUUUUUUAUUA